AAUCUGUUGUUGUUUUAGGACUUGAGAGCAUCUGAACCAGGGGCCCGAGGGAGUCCCAUGUGGGACGGAAGAGCCCAGGACUUCUGGCAGUCUUAUCUGGGCAGAAGGCCUAUGUGGCAUCCUGGACAAGGACUGUCUGAUGGAGGAGCUCCAGAGUGCUCCAAACGGGCCACCCUCUUUUGCGGAGUAGAAGCAAGCACCUGAGGGAAAAGGGAAGCUCUCUUGUGAACAUCCCACCUCCCUUCUCCAGGCAAGCAUUGGCAGCCAGAUAAAGGGAGAACAUUCCAGAAAGAAAAUUCCCUCAAAGUAGUUCCAAAGAGCUUAUGUUUCCCCUUGCCUACUAAUCUGCCUGCCCUGGGCCCCCAUCCCUUCUGGAUCCCCCCAAACAGCUGUCUGUUCUGGUGGCUCACACAGGGUAGAGGGGCAGCCCCAUUUAUGGGGCCCAUGUGGGAGGCUGGAAGGGCCAAAAAGCCAGGUGCAAAGGGUUGGGAGGGGAAGUCAUGAACCGCAGUGGGACACCAUGGCCACCUGAGGAAAUGAGACUAUACCAUCCCUGGCCAACAUCCUCUCACCUGCUGCAGGAAGGUCUAGUGUGGGGCUGGUGAGUUGGAGGAACAGAGUGAAUGUUCCCCAUUCCCCAAAUGGCUGGGGACAUCUAUCUCUCUAAUUCGUUGGUUCUGAGACCCAGGUGUCAUAUCACAGGCCCCGAAGGGGAAGAAGUUGCUCUGUGUGGAAGAGUUGGGGAAAAUCCACGAGCUGUACCCACCUGCAAGGAUCCUUGCCUUCCAGAGGGCUGCCCUCUGGCCAAGCUGAAAGGAAAGAGACUCUGUGAUUUUUAAAAUAAUGUGAACUAUAGCUUCUCAUUCACUGAGCACUCAUUUUUCACACAUUUAUGCAUUUACUUCAAAAUAAAAUGGGUGUUAGGAUGCCCAUUUUACAGAUGAGGAAGCUGAAGCUUGGUAGAAGUAAGAGAUUUCCCAAGAGCACCCACCUAACAGCUAAAGAGUUGCAGGGUUGAGACCCAGGUCUACAAGCGCCCAAAGCACCAGAAGAUUCUUACAAGCUUUCUUCAGAGGGUGGAGAUGCUAGGGGAUGGAAACAGAGAAAAGGAUAUGGUGAGGUGACAGCCUGUCGGCAAGCAAGAGACAUCUCACCCUUGCUUCUUCCCCGGACCCUUGGAAAGGAAAACUUGCUCUUCUGGACUAGUGGCUUGAGGCCAAAAAAACAUUCUGUUUACACUUGGCCUUGCGAUAGACCCUGGAGAGACGGAUGGUCCUUUCCUAAGAGUGUUAUAUUUAUUUUUAGCACUUUUUGAUCUGCAGCACAUGUUCAAGUCACUUAACCCACUUAUUUCUGAAAACAACUGGGUGAGGAAGAGAGGGAUAGGGAAGAUUUCAUGACCCCCAUUGUACAGAUAAGGAAACAGAGGCUGAGAAGAGGGUCUCAUCACUGGGUAGCAGUAGACGGGCCGAGACCCUGCGUGCCCUGCCUCAUCUGAACCACGAGGCUCUCCCUGCCGCUGCCCCAAUCAGGCUCAGCCUUAUAUUGAUUUCACUCCCCAGGAAAGGGACAAUUGCAUCAAUGAUGUGUUGAAUUUGUGACGCCUCCAUUCAGCCCUUUCCUUACCCCAAGACCCCACCAGCCCCACUUGGAGGCCCUGGAAGAAUCUCAGGCAGCCUGGGAGGACCUGCCUCACUAUUCUGCUAACAAGAGAGAGAGACCACCUGAUCUUCCUGGCUUCCAACCCCCUUCGGGGUUUCAGGAAGAGAUCAAGGGAGGAGGAUGGCUUUCAGAAGUCUGAGUUUAGACAGAAAGAGGGAACGAAAGAGGGUCAUCACAAGGUCCAAGGGUGUGGCUCUAUGGGAGGGGCAGCUCCAUCCUCUGUGUGGGGUCACUGGUUGCAUUAAGCCAUGGAGGCUCAGGGUGACCAGCUAGAUGGGAAAUUUGACGAGAAAGAAGAACACCAAGAAGUAGUGUGGAGUCAUCCUCUUCAACCCAGGGAAACACACCCAACCUCACUCCCAGCCCAACCCCAAUCCCAGACUCUCCCCAAACUAAGCCAAUUACCCUUAAAUGUGCCCUAAGGACUUCGCACACCCGGCCCGUCCCUGAAGCUCAUCAUUGCAAGAGUCCCGGGUAUCUGAACCUUAAAUGAAUGAAUUGAUGACCUAAACAGGGACCUGGCUAUCUCACUUUAAAAAUCAGUCUCUCUAGAGAAUAUGAUCUUUUAUACACGAAUAAUUGAAUAAACAAAACCCUUGCCAUUUGUAGAGAUUUUAUGCUCUACAGCAUAUGCCUUGAUGUGUGAUCUCAUUGGAUCCUCACAUAGCUGAGGAGCCUGGGGCCUGGGAAGAAGUGUCAAAGCCAGGAUCCAAGCCCAGAUAUCUAGUACUUGGAAUCAAAAUUUGAACUUAAAACUCUCUUAGGAAAUGUUCUUAAAUGAGAGAGUGAAUUUGGGAUUAGUCAAAGCAAUUGCUUUUCCCCCAAGCAUGAGCAGCUUUUUGAGAGCCGACUUAGGAGAACACAGGGCUGCAGGAGGCUGGUGUUUUAGCUGGGCCACCUGAGUUCAUAGACCAAGCAGUGAGCACAGCCUAGCAGAAAGCUGAGAGGUGGAGAGGUAUGCACGCAGAGGCACAAGAAAUUUAAAAAUCACACACGCUUAUAACCCACCUUAAGGGAGCUUAUGACUGGACAGAAAGUUCUAGAAGACAGGAACAUAAGACGGUGUGACUUCGGGCUUUGUGAGGAAGACCAGGGACCUCUUGUCUGUCAUGACACACACACACACACACACACACAGAACGGUUCAGCCUCAGGGCUAAGAAAAGGAGAAUUGAACGGAUCCAGUUUCUCCAUAGAACAGGCCUGGGAGGCUCUCCUCGGGAACCUCCCCGCCUCAGCCCUGCCUGCUGCCCCCGCCCUGGGUUCUGAGAGGAGCCUGGCCGGCCCCCAGAGCUCUGGCGUGUAGAAGAGUCAGAGACUGGUGGGAAGAAAAGCUCCCCGAAAAGUCUGGUGCAGGAGAUGGGAGUGAGGAAAGCCUGAGUUCACUGUGGGUGGAAGGAGACGGAGGCAGCCCUGACCUGUGACUUUGUCACCCCAGACAACAGGGCCACAGGCUGCCCAGGCCCAGAGCCACCAAGAAACGCCCCUGAGCAAGGGCCAGCUGCCUGAGUCAUUCUGCCUUCCAGCGCAGGCUUCUGCUGGAAGCUCUGGACAAGUUUUGCUUGCUUCACUCAGGGCCGCAUGGCACCUGGUGACAAAGGCAAUGAAGGAAAAGGGUCCAGCCAGGCUGGGAAGCCUCUCGGGGCAGGGGAGAGAUCUCUUGCUUAUUGUCAGGUUUCUGGAUGAUGAGGAAAUAAACAAAAGAAAGCCAAAAAAUUCAAGGUCAAAAAAAUUAGGGCUUUUAACAGUGUUUGUUUUUAGUAUACUAAUGCUUGAACUACUCCUUUAAAAUCUACAUGCAAUAUGGAGUUCCUAUUGUGACGCAGCAGAAACGAACCCAACCAGUAUCCCCGAGGAUGUGGGUUCGAUCCUGGGCCUGAACCAGUGGGUUAAGGAUCUGAUGUUGUCCUGAGCUGUGGUGUAGGUCGCAGAUGUGGCCUGGAUCUGGUGUGGCUGUGGCUGUGGCUUAGGCCCAGGCCCAAGGCUACAGCUCCAAUUCGACCCCUAGCCUGGGAACCUCCAUAUGCCUCGGGUGAGGCCCUAGAAAGGAAAAAAAUUUUAAAAAAUAAAAUAAAAUUGAUGUGCAAUAUGGCUGUGCUAUUUUCAAGAAAAUUACAGGACUCGUAACAUGGUAAUUCGUAGUUCACCCAUUACGAGGGGUCUGGGGUCUGGCAAUGAGACUCAAGUUUAGUUUUACAAUGAAUGCCUUCUCAGUCCUUUUGUUGUCUCCCCAAGACUACGACAUCCCCAGUGGAGGUAAAGCCAAGAAUCUAACUGCGAGGUCCUUUGUGAUGGGAAGCCCAGAGGGAAUGGCACUCGGGGACCCCCUUGGAGAGGCAUGCCUGGGAAGAGACCACCUUUGAGGAAGGUGGAGCAACAACAGAGGCUGCGAGGCAGUCUCCCCCUCCUCCCUCCUCAUCUGUCUUCCUUCUUUCUUCCCCUCCUUCCUUCCCAUGCUCAGUAUACUCUCUAAGGACUCUCAUGCACACAGGAUAGGGGAGCAUGCAUCUCCUUGUGUGUAGGGUACCGAGACAGGAGUGUGGUGUGCAAAAGUGUGCAGACUGAGUGUCCAGAGGCUGUGUGGGAAGGUGUGAGGAGAUGCCCUCUGUCCCUCGGGGUGAGCUCCACCCUCUCUCCUGUUUCUUGCUGUAUUCAGCUCCUCCCAAGCACCUGACUGAGGACCAAGCAGCUGGUGAGGGGCCACUACGGUCUUCCUUUGAGCAAAGUCAGCAGGAAGCUGGCACUGGGUCACACAAGGCAAGAGUCUAGCUGGUGUGAGUUCCAAGGUGCGUCCCUGGAUCAUGAGGUCAUCCCUCUGCUGGCUCCUCCCACUUCUCCUCAUCUUGGCCUCAGCGGCCCAAGGCCAGCCAACAAGACGACCAAGACCCAGACCAAGGCCCCGGCCAAGACCCAGACCCAGGCCAACACCCAGCUUUCCUGAUCCCCAUGAGCCAUCAGAGCCUACAGACCUGCCUCCUCCCCUCCCACCGGGCCCACCAUCUGUCUUUCCUGACUGUCCCCGGGAGUGCUACUGCCCCUCUGAUUUCCCAUCUGCCCUCUACUGUGACAGCCGCAACCUUCGAAAGGUCCCUGUCAUCCCGUCCCGCAUCCAUUACCUCUAUCUCCAGAACAACUUCAUAACCGAGCUUCCGGUGGAGUCCUUCAAGAAUGCCACAGGCCUGAGGUGGAUCAACCUGGACAACAACCGCAUUCGCAAGGUGGACCAGAGGGUGUUGGAGAAACUGCCCAGCCUGGUGUUCCUCUACAUGGAAAAGAACCAGCUCGAAGAGGUGCCCUCAGCCCUGCCCCGGAACCUGGAGCAGCUCAGGCUGAGCCAGAACCAGAUCUCCAGAAUCCCGCCCGGCGUCUUCAGCAAGCUGGAGAACCUGCUGCUCUUAGAUCUCCAGCACAAUAAGCUGAGUGACGGCGUCUUCAAACCCGACACCUUCCAGGGCCUUAAGAACCUCAUGCAGCUCAACCUGGCCCACAACAUCUUAAGAAAGAUGCCGCCCAAGGUCCCCACGGCCAUUCACCAGCUCUACCUGGACAGCAACAAGAUCGAGACCAUCCCCAAUGGAUACUUCAAGGGUUUCCCCAACCUGGCCUUCAUUCGCCUCAACUACAACAAGCUUUCAGACAGGGGACUCCCCAAGAACUCCUUUAAUAUCUCCAACCUGCUCGUGCUCCACCUGUCACACAACAAGAUCAGCAACGUGCCUGCCAUCAACAACAAGCUGGAGCACCUGUACCUCAACAACAACAGCAUCGAGAAAAUCAAUGGGACCCAGAUUUGCCCCACCGAUCUAGUCGCCUUCCACGACUUCUCCUCGGAUCUGGAGAACGUGCCACACCUCCGCUACCUGCGGCUGGAUGGGAACUACCUGAAGCCGCCCAUCCCACUGGACCUCAUGAUGUGCUUCCGCCUGCUGCAGUCCGUGGUCAUCUAGGCCUUCCUCUGCCCCUGGAGCCCCUGUGACCACACUUGACCCAGGAGCCCAUGCCCACCAUUUGUUUUCUCUGUCUCCUAUACUUGCUCCCACCUUUGCCUUUCUUAUCCCACCUUCCUGAGGCAGGGACAGGCCACAUACUCUGCUGCCCCUGCAGCUUCUAGAGCAAGACGUCUAAAGGCCGUAUUUGGUCCACGCAGCUCAAAGACACACACCACACACCCAAACUCCGGGCCCCAGAAGCAACGCUAUGUGUCUAGAGAUUUUUAUCUUCUCUUCUCCCUCUUCCUCCCCUCAGCCUUCCUGGGUAAGUCUGGGCCAUGGACUGACAUCUGGAUCUUGGUCUUGGCCAGAGCAAGCAGAAGAUGGUCAGGGGCAGCCCCGAAGUGGGGUUUGGAAAGUUCUGCUGGAAAAUGCUCCAUCUUCCAAUAGUGCUGCUUCACUGCCCCAUUCACUGGCACCAGACAUCACACUGGCUCUCUGUCCACCUCUGUUCCCCAGAAAGGAAGGGCAAGGGAAUGGCUGAGGGAGGGUGGAGGGUCAGAGAUUUGCACAAGGGCCUGCGUCAGCUGUCUCAUCAUAGGGACCAGAUGGAACCCUCCUCCUCAGCACACAGCUUCCUGGCUGGGACGCUCUACUCCAAGAGUAAGAGCAGGGAGUCACAGUCAAGGAGAAGAAUGGCUCAGAAAACUAGGAAUCAGUCAAUGGAGCCCUUAGGGGUGCAGAUGGGUCCUACAGCCCCCUUGGCCACUCUGGACAAGGGGCCCAAUGCCCUGGGGAACACAGUCUCCACAGUGGAGGGUACGGAGCCUUCAACCCCGACCUGCCAUCUGUUCUCUAUCAGUGGGAAUGGCCCGGUCCUUUCCAUUCCCCAGAAAAAUUCCUGAGAAACUGCUCAAGAAGGGGCAGAGCGCCUGGAAAUCUCCCAGAAGCCUCUUCCACUUGUGCAGAUUAGCCUCGCCUCCUAAGACAAGACACAGCAGUGACACCUGGUGGCUGGUGCUGGUCAUGUCUCCCCCCACCCCCCCACCCCCCACCCCCACCCUCCACCACCCAUGCUCCUUCUCUUCUCUCUCUGGGAUGAUUUUCCAAGGUCAAGGAGUUGGCCUUGGGUUCCAACUUGAAGAGCCAUGGGCAACAUAUGUGGUCACUCUCUCCUUUGGGAUCUAAAGGGCACAAAGGUAUGGAGGCCCCCAGUUGGAGGGCCUGAGCCCCAUCUUGAAUCAGCACAAGUAGGAACCUUGAGGAACCCAGGUGAGGAUAUGAUUUGUUCCCAUUUGCUGCCUGACCUGCGGCCCUUUCUGCGCUCAGCUUCCAAUGGUAAACCAAGGAGGUGGAUCAAGUGCCCUUCCAAGGACACUUUCGUGCUCAUGUUCCUGCAUGCAGCUCCAUCUUUCAGACCAUGCUCUAUGCAGGACAAGCCCGAAACAGCAUCCCUCUCUCCUGCAAUAAUUUAUUCCCUAUAUGGACCGUCCUUCCCUCAAAGUACCCAUCCUCCCUGCCUGGCCCAGAUAAGCAGGGUGACAGGCCUCCAAGGGGAGCCUGGGCUCCACAAGGCUGACUCGCCUUCACCUUCCCCUUAACUUCUCCUAGGGCAUGCUGCCCCUCUACAGUCCCUUCAGUGUGUGUUGGGGGUGGGGGGGAGGAAUAGUCUAGAAAUAAGUAGGACACAGUGCCUACUCUCAAGUUUGGUUGAGCCAAGUUCCAGAGAGUUUUAAGAAAUUGGAUUAAGCUGGGUCCCAAGGUCAAGAAAUUCCCACUAUACUCUUUUUUCUUUUCACUCUUCUCUGCUAAUUUACAGAAAAUGGGGCCCAUUUCAUCUCCUUCCCCCAUGUUCCCAUACAACUGGUUCGUUCUUCCUAGCUGCAGCUGGUUUCUCCAAGGCUCCUGCUUAAAGUCAAUAUAUUAUUGUGGCUGUAAGCAAUCUGGUGCUAUGGCCUGGAUAAGCCCCCCCUUCUGCACCUUAUUUCUUCCUUGCGCCCUCAGCCCUUCUGGGCAGCACAACUCCCAGGGCUCCCUGGGCGGGGAGGGAUCAUGCCCCUGCUUCUGCAAACCUGAACUGUUUUGUUUUGGCAGCAUUACAUUCAUCAUCAUCCCAUUGCCCCAUCUGGAAGAUGCCUGCUUCCUCCCCUGCUGCCUGCAGCUGUAAACCAGAGGAUAUUAAACUAGUUUUACAGCCACACACACACACACACACAUAUUUGUGGUCAUUUCCCUUGGGAUUAAGGAAGCCCCCUCCUCCCCACACACAAAUUCAUUCCCUCAGUGCUGCUGGCAUAUGCAUACACAGAUGUGUAAGUAGGUGUGCAUGUGUACUCUGUACAUAUAGCUAUUCUUUCCUGAAGACCAUGCUAACUUUAUGAAACUACUUUCACAUUCCAAUGUGCUUCACAGCAGAGGAAAUAAAGUGAUAUG
rnacentral:lncRNA from 1 species